rnacentral:rRNA from 1 species
GCUUACGGCCACACCUCCCUGAGCACACCCGAUCUUGUCUGAUCUCGGAAGCUAAGCAGGGUCGUGCCCGGUUAGUACUUGGAUGGGAGACCGCCUGGGAAUACCAGGUGCUGUAAGCC